rnacentral:rRNA from 1 species
CAUAUUUUAGAGCUAAAUCAAAAAUAUAAACUAAAAUAACUUUACUUUCAAAUCCACCUUCAUUAAUAUAUUUUAAAAUUAAAUCCGUAUAAAUAAAUUUAUUGUAACCCACUUCUACCUUAUCUAUAAACUGCACCUUGAUCUGAUGUAUUAUAAAAUUAUAAAUUAUGACCAUUAAAUUCUUAUAAAAUAAUCAACUACGACGAUAUACAAAUUAAAUAAAAUAAGUAAGUUCUAAUCGUGGACUAUCAAUUACAGAGCAGGUUCCUCUGAAAAGACUAAAAUACCGCCAAAUUCUUGAAUUUUACAAGCUCUCAACUAAUACUAAUUAAAUUUAAAAUUUACAUUUAA